AUUGAACGCUGGCGGCAGGCCUAACACAUGCAAGUCGAACGAGUGGCGGACGGGUGAGUAAUGUUUGGGAAUCUGCCUUAUGGAGGGGGAUAACGACGGGAAACUGUCGCUAAUACCGCAUACCAUAGGAUGAGCCCAAGUGGGAUUAGGUAGUGGGUGGGGUAAUGGCCUACCAAGGCGACGAUCUCUAGCUGGUCUGAGAGGAUGACCAGCCACACUGGGACUGAGACACGGCCCAUACUCCUACGGGAGGCAGCAGUGGGGAAUAUUGCGCAAUGGGCGCAACCCUGAUGCAGCCAUGCCGCGUGUAUGAAGAAGGCCUUCGGGUUGUAAAGUUCUUUCAGUGAGGAGGCGUUACUCGCAGAAGAAGCACCGGCUAACUCCGUGCCAGCAGCCGCGGUAAUAC
rnacentral:rRNA from 1 species